CCGACUGGGACCGGGGAUCGAAGACGGGCCAUCUUGCUGCGAGCAGAAUAUCCCAUCAAAUGUAACCUCAUGUUUGCACCAACCAUGAAAGCCACGAGCGCCAGUGGAGGGACGGAAAAAAGAAUACAAGGACCCAAUCAGAUCUGAGUCCAAAGGCCUUCGUUGAACAGAGAGUCUGACCUCUUGAUAUCACGUGAAGUGUCACUGAAGAUUACCUGAGGACGCCUAUAAGCCAGAUCCAUUUCCUCCUUGGGAAUACAGAUAGUAACCAAAACAGCUGUGCUCUCAAUUCCCGGACUACAAUACGAUUUAAUACGCCAAAAAAAUAUUUGUUAUGUCCUAAAUAAUACAUAGUAUGUCAAUCAUGCAGUAUGCAAGCCAGGAUGCGUUUCUGCCUAUUCUGACCCACAAUCGUAAGCGCAGCACAUAUUCAGAGGGUCAGAGUUCAAGGUACCAUGUUAUGAGGAAGUAGGAUGUCCCAAUUGAAUAUACUUAAUGCAACAGUAUGUACUUUGUGAAGGCAGCUGCAUUAUGUACUAAAAGUCUCCCAAAAAAAGAAGCCAUUUGGAAGGCGGCUCAUGUUUUUAUUUCAGACAGAUGGUGUUUCAUUCAAGUUUUAUAGAAUAUUUCACUCCAAAAAUGUGCCAUUGCAUCACACAACAAAGAACAGAUAUAGAGGCAAUAGAGAAGAAAAGACAGCAGACCAGCACAAGUUAUAUUGAUUUAUAAUGGUAGACAGGUUUAUUAGCUGUGGGUCCAACUUCCUGCAGCUGCCCAGUCUGUGUUUGGAAGAACAGCAUUGGGCAGAAGGUGUUAUUAUUAUAGUAGUAUCAAACACGGGGGCUUUAAUCUUCAUUUUAAAUAAAACAAAUAUCGUUAAAUAAAAACACAUAGCAGUCAGUAUUCACUUGGCUCACCAGGGGGCCAUAUUAGAUCUUUAGGGGAGCCACUUCAAGUGUGUGAUAAUUCCUCCAAGCUGUUAUUUCCACUGUUUGUCACACAGUAAUUCAGUGUGUUGUGGCUGCUGUUGGCCGAGCAUCUCGUGAGUGAAAUAAAAAGCAUUUAUAAUCA